UCUUACGAAUGAGCAAAGAAAAUGGUUUCUCUUGACAUGGAAUCUGUUCCUGGUGAAGAUGCUGUGAA
rnacentral:pre_miRNA from 1 species